UCUUUAAUCAAACAAGUAUUGAGAAUUUGGUACUCAUUUUUAUACCAGAUUUUAAAAAUUCGUAACACAUUUCGAAAAAUUCGUAACCUGCUUCGAUACCGACUGUUGUUAAUACUGGACCGAUUGUUGCAAUUCCACAACAGAAGCGUCAAAUUAAAUUUUUACCACAAAUCCAUUUUCUCAGCAAAAACUGAUACAAUCACGAAAGAGAAAACCCUGGCUCUCUUCUGUAACAGAGUAGUUUCAAACCCUAGUUCUCUUUCUGAAUCUCUCUCACCCUUCUCUCGUCUUCUACAAAUCCAGAAGAACUCUCUCUCAUCCUGUGCACCCAUACACAAGACAUACUAAUGAACCACGGCCAUGAAAGCCACACACGUCUUUUUGCACUCAUACACUAGGUGUAUCCAAAAUCAUGACCACCUUAGUCAUACCAUAUGGGUGUGGCUAAACCGUACCACCCCCAAAAUAAUAACACCUAUGCUAUAUUUAUAGCUUACAUAAAAACUAUCCAAAUCCUAUUUCAAUUAAAAUUUUACUUUAAUUAAUAUUAAAUUUUAAUUUAUCUUCAAUAGAUUUAAAUAUUAAUAAUAAUUCAGCUAGGAAUAAACUAUACGGCUAAUCAAAUUCUAACAACAAAACAACA
rnacentral:lncRNA from 1 species